AAUGAACGCUGGCGGCAGGCCUAACACAUGCAAGUCGAACGGAUCCUUCGGGAUUAGUGGCGGACGGGUGAGUAACGCGUGGGAACAUACCCUUUGGUACGGAAUAGCCUCGGGAAACUGGGAGUAAUACCGUAUGUGGUCGAGAGACGAAAGAUUUAUCGCCAAAGGAUUGGCCCGCGUUGGAUUAGGUAGUUGGUGGGGUAAUGGCCUACUAAGCCGACGAUCCAUAGCUGGUUUGAGAGGAUGAUCAGCCACACUGGGACUGAGAUACGGCCCAGACUCCUACGGGAGGCAGCAGUGGGGAAUCUUAGACAAUGGGGGAAACCCUGAUCUAGCCAUGCCGCGUGAUCGAUGAAGGCCUUAGGGUUGUAAAGAUCUUUCAGGUGGGAAGAUAAUGACUGUACCACCAGAAGAAGCCCCGGCUAACUCCGUGCCAGCCGCCGCAGUAA
rnacentral:rRNA from 1 species